AAAGCAAGUUCAGUCCUUGGAGGAGAAGUACACCAGCGCGACACGGGCGAAUGGCAAGCAGGAGGAGGAGGUUCUGUUCCUCAAGGAGAAGUAUGAGGCUGUGCUUGAGAGGAACACCAGGCUGGAGCAGCAGGUGGCUGCUCUGUCCACUUCUUUCCUGUCUCUCAAGGUACAACAAAACCUGCCUUCUAGGCCCCUGAAGUGGCUAAACCUCCUCCUCUACCACCA